GACGAAGGAUGCAAGCGUUAUCCGGAUUCAUUGGGUUUAAAGGGAGCGUAGGUGGCCUUAUAAGUCAGUGGUGAAAUCCUGUUGCUUAACAACAGAAUUGCCAUUGAUACUGUAGGGCUUGAGUACAGAUGCCGUUGGCGGAAUAUGACAUGUAGUGGUGAAAUACAUAGAGAUGUCAUAGAGCACCGAUUGCGAAGGCAGCUGACGAAACUGUAACUGACACUGAGGCUCGAAAGUGCGGGGAUCAAACAGG
rnacentral:rRNA from 1 species